GCCGCCCGAGCGCUCUGUAAAGAGCCUCAGGCGGCUGCAGCUUUGCCCGGGCGGUGCGUCCAUGAGGGCGGACCGCACCGCCUGGGCGCAGCCUGAGAAAGGGGGCUGACAGGAGGGAGCUCCCACCUAUCAGCUCCCUCCCUGUAGCGUGGCCGAGCCCUGAUGGUCCGACGGGUACAGAGAGCAGCUGUCUCCUGUACCCGGCCGGACUAACAGGAAGUGCAC